rnacentral:rRNA from 1 species
AGUGCUUAUGGCGGAUGCCUUGGUGGCAAGAGGCGAUGAAGGACGUGGCAGUCUGCGAAAAGCUUCGGGGAAUUGACAAACGAAUUUUGAUCCGGAGAUAUCCGAAUGGGGGAACCCAGCCAGUUUUUAACUGGUUAUCAUUAACUGAAUCAAUAGGUUAAUGAAGCGAACCUAGUGAACUGAAACAUCUUAGUAACUAGAGGAAAAGAAAUCAACAGAGAUUCCGAAAGUAGUGGCGAGCGAAAUUGGAACAGCCUUAAAACCGUAUGCAAAAGUUUUUUAGUAGAAUAUUUUGGAAAGAAUAACGAAACAAGGUGAUAGUCCUGUAUACGAAAAGAAAUUCUUGCUUAGUUUUGAUAAGUAGAACGAGACAUGUGAAAUCUUGUUUGAAGAUGGGGGAACCAUCCUCCAAGGCUAAAUACUACUUGUCAACCGAUAGUGUACUAGUACCGUGAGGGAAAGGUGAAAAGAACCCCUGUUAGGGGAGUGAAAUAGAUCCUGAAACCGUAAGCAUACAAGCAGUGGGAGCUGUAAUUUAUUUAUAGUGACUGCGUACCUUUUGUAUAAUGGGUCAGCGAGUUAUUAGCAGUAGCAAGCUUAACUUUUUAUGAGGUAGGCGUAGAGAAAUCGAGUCUGAUAAGGGCUACUAAGUUUCUGUUAAUAAACCCGAAACCGGGCGAUCUAUCCAUGUCCAGGGUGAAGAUAAAGUAACAUUUAUUGGAGGCCCGAACUCACUUAUGUUGAAAAAUGAGGAGAUGAGGUGUGGAUAGGAGUGAAAGGCUAAUCAAGCUCGGAGAUAGCUGGUUCUCCGCGAAAGCUAUUUAGGUAGCGCCUUGUGUAUAACUAUUGGGGGUAGAGCACUGUUUUGGAUAUGAGGGUUAUAAAGACUUAUUGUACCAAUGCAAACUCCGAAUACCAAUAAGUUCGAGCACAGGAGACACACUACGGGUGAUAAGGUCCGUGGUGGAAAGGGAAACAGCCCAGACUACCAGCUAAGGUCCCUAAGUGAUAGUUAAGUGGAAAACGAAGUGGGAAGGCUUAAACAUCCAGGAGGUUGGCUUAGAAGCAGCCAUCCUUUAAAGAAAGCGUAAUAGCUCACUGGUCUAGUCUACCUGCGCGGAAGAUUUAACGGGGCUAAACUAUCCACCGAAGCUGUAGAUAUGUNUUUAUUGUUANAUACNUAUGGUAGCGGAGCGUUCUGUANGCNGNUGAAGNNNNACUGUAAGGUNUGNUGGAGGUAUCAGAAGUGCGAAUGCUGACAUGAGUAACGAUAAUGCAGGUGAAAAACCUGCACGCCGAAAGUCUAAGGUUUCCUGCUCUAUGCUAAUCAGAGCAGGGUAAGUCGGAUCCUAAGGUGAGGCUGAAAAGCGUAAUCGAUGGAAAACUGGUUAAUAUUCCAGUACUUUUAUUUAAUUCGAUGGGGUGACGAAGAAGGCUAUGUUAUCUACCAGAUGGUUUUGGUAGUUCAAGUAUGUAGAUAGUUUGCUUUGGCAAAUCCGGGCAAAUUUUUAUUCGAGAUACGAGUACGAUUUCCUUUUUUUCGAAAUUGGAAAGAAGUAAUUUAUGCCAUGCUUCCAGGAAAAGCCUCUAAGGUUAAGUUAAAUAAAAUCCGUACCGCAAACCGACACAGGUAGACANGUAGAGAAUACUAAGGCGUUGAGAAAACUUAGGUGAAGGAACUCGGCAAAAUGGCACCGUAACUUCGGGAGAAGGUGCGCCUUUUANAGUGANANANNUUNCNUNUNNAGCUUAAAAAGGCUNAAAAAACCAGGUGGCUGCGACUGUUUAUUAAAAACACAGCACUCUGCAAACUCGCAAGAGGAAGUAUAGGGUGUGACGCCUGCCCGGUGCCGGAAGGUUAAUUGAAGAUGUGAGAGCAUCUGAUCGAAGCCCCGGUAAACGGCGGCCGUAACUAUAACGGUCCUAAGGUAGCGAAAUUCCUUGUCGGGUAAGUUCCGACCUGCACGAAAGGCGUAAGAGGCCACACUGUCUCGAUCUUAAGGCUCAGUGAAAUUGAAAUUGCUGUGAAGAUGCAGUGUACCCGCGGUAAGACGGAAAGACCCCGUG